UGAUGGUUCAAAUUAUUUGGUACAUGCAUAAGCUAUAUUUUCGGUUGAAUACAGAUGAAACGCGAAGAAUAAUCUAUUGGUUUCACUACCAAUAUCAGUUUCUAAAUAAAAUCUCUUAAAUUCCAUCCAUGAACAAUAUAACUUAUCAAGCCAAUCCAUUUCCAAUGUCAUCAAUGCUUUCUCUUUAUCCCAGUCCCGAUUCAUCUCAUCAUCAAUGUCAUCUAUUCGAUUUUCCAGCGGUGUAUUUACGGAUUCUCCUCCAAAUUUCUGAAUAAGGUUUUUUGAUUGGCUUCCGGAGGACAUGACUUGGUUAAGGAAACUACUCAUGCAAAGGAGUCAUGUAAUAUUGUUGUUCGAGUUAUUCUCUUAUGGGUGUUACUUUCUUAAAGGAUCAAUUUCCAAUUUCUAAUUCCUAUUUUCUAGCUGAAUCAGAAAGGUCACAAGAUUAAAAGCAAAUUAUGUCAAUGCAAUCAAGUGGAAAUGGAAAAUUCACACAGUUUCUUCCAAACUCAGCUUUGAAAUUAUCAUCGUUAAAAGGCUUUUAAGGAACUAAAAAAUUCAGCACUCCAUUAGAAACCUUUAAAGUUCUGGAACAAUAUAGGUAAAGCUUCUUGAUUUUUUUCUUCCUUUUUUCGUGUUUGCUGUAUCAUCCAUCAUCCAUCAUGUUUAUAAUAUAGUUUUAAUUAUUUGUCA